rnacentral:rRNA from 1 species
GAUGAACGCUGGCGGCGUGCCUAAUACAUGCAAGUCGAGCGAACAGACGAGGAGCUUGCUCCUCUGACGUUAGCGGCGGACGGGUGAGUAACACGUGGAUAACCUACCUAUAAGACUGGGAUAACUUCGGGAAACCGGAGCUACUACCGGAUAAUAUAUUGAACCGCAUGGUUCAAUAGUGAAAGACGGUUUUGCUGUCACUUAUAGAUGGAUCCGCGCCGCAUUAGCUAGUUGGUAAGGUAACGGCUUACCAAGGCAACGAUGCGUAGCCGACCUGAGAGGGUGAUCGGCCACACUGGAACUGAGACACGGUCCAGACUCCGACGGGAGGCAGCAGUAGGGAAUCUUCCGCGAUGGGCGAAAGCCGGACGGAGCAACGCCGCGUGAGUGAUGAAGGUCUUCGGAUCGUAAAACUCUGUUAUUAGGGAAGAACAAAUGUGUAAGUAACUAUGCACGUCUUGACGGUACCUAAUCAGAAAGCCACGGCUAACUACGUG